rnacentral:rRNA from 1 species
UACGUAGGGGGCAAGCGUUGUCCGGAAUUAUUGGGCGUAAAGAGCUCGUAGGCGGUUUGUCGCGUCUGCUGUGAAAACUGGAGGCUCAACCUCCAGCCUGCAGUGGGUACGGGCAGACUAGAGUGCGGUAGGGGAGAUUGGAAUUCCGGGUGUAGCGGUGGAAUGCGUAGAGAUCCGGAAGAACACCGGUGGCGAAGGCGGUUGGCUGGGCCACACCUGACACUGAGGCGCGACAGCGUGGGGAGCAAACAGG